CCUGAAAAGAACUCACUUUCUUGUACCAUCUGAUAUUUGCCCUUCCCAAUUCCCUAUUUCCCUGCUAUAUUUUUCCCUACACUUCUGCUAUUUUCUCACGAUGUUUUCAUGAGGAAACUUUUUUUUUUUUUUUUUUUUGACAACGUUAAAGUUCUUUUUCACAUCAAGGAUCAUCAGAGUUCCCAGGUAUCACUCCUGCUAAAAAUAGGGACAAACUGAUGCUGUGGAAGAGUUGUUAUUUUUUGUAGUCAGCGUGGAUCCAAUUGGGAAGAUUUCUUCAGCUUUGAAGUUCCAGAGUGACUCAUGAGUGUUAAGAUAACAGACAACUCAAAGGACAGGAGGAAUAAACCUGAACAGACAGGACAAGAUGUACAGAGAGAAAUUAAUUGGAAUAAAAUGCAGCACUUCUUUUCUUACAUCACUGCCUCUGUGGGGCUGCUGACACCACUAGACUGGAAGGAUUCUGCUCAGUCACUGAAGCCAACUAAUGGGAUUCUGCCUGCUGAAAUGAAGCAGAACAUCACUACCAACAGACAGACCGAAGAAGAUGAAAGCUUGCAAAGAAAACUUAUUGCCUCUGGAGGAAAUGCAGCAGCUCAAUUGCAGUAAUCUUCCUUGGUUUUGAAGCACACCCAGGCUGUGCUAUAUCUUCACAUCUUCAGGAUGGAAGCUGCUGCCCAUGGUACUGUGCAGAGGAAUCACAGGAGACUACAGUGCUCCACCUCUGCAGGAAGCAGGCAGCAGUUUCCAAAAGCCAUAAUGUCCUACAACACAGAAAGGUGAGAAGCACACGGUCCCAGCCCCCUCCUUCCCCAACCCCCUCCCCUCCUACCACACACACAGCUGGAGAACGUGCGGUGAAUGGGCUCACAUCUAGCAGAAAACUCCAUGUUUGUGAUUACACCAGUGCUUUGAGCUGGCAGCAGUGAAGAGUGCUGAAGAGCAAGAGUGCCAUAAUUAAGGAUGAGAGCAGAAACCCACAGCUUAAGGUUGGGCUUGACUCACAGAGGUAAUGGAAAGGGGUUUUACUUUUAUUAUAAUAGAAAAGGCAGGUCGUGCUUGACUAACCUCAUCUCCUUCAACAACUGGGUGGCCAGACUGGUAGAUGAGGAAAAGCUGUUGAUGUAGUCUAUCUAGACUCCAGCAAAGCCUCUGACAUGGUCUCUCACAGUAUUCUCCUGGGGAAACUGGUUGCCCAUGGCCUGGACAGUAUACCCUUCUUUGGGUAAGGAAUUGGCUAGAAGACCAUGCCAAAUGGGUAGUAGAUAAUAGAGUUGAGAACAACUGGAGACCCAUUACAAGUGGCGUCUCCCAGAGGUCGGUACUGGGGCCCAUCUUGUUUAAUAUCUUUACUGAUGACCUAGAUGAGGGGAUUGAGUGUACCCUGAGUAAGUUUGCAGAUGACACCAAGCUGGGAGGUAGCAUUGAUCAGCCUGAGGGUUGGGAGGCCCUUCAGAGGGAUCUAGAUAAGCUGGAUCGCUGGGCUCAGGUGAAUGAGAUGAAGUUCAACAAGGCCAAGUGCCAGGUUCUGCACUUUAGCCACAAUAACCCCAUGCAGCACUAUAGGCUUGGGGCAGAGCGGCUGUAUAACUGUGAAGAGGAAAGGGACCUGGGGGUUUUGGUUGAUGCUCAGCUGAACAUAAGCUGAGAGCAUGCCCAGGUGGCCAAAACAGCCAAUACCAUCCCCGCCUGCAUUAGAAAUAGUUGGCCAGAAGGAGCAGGGAAGCAAUCAUCCCCUGUACUCAGCACUGAUGAGGCCACACCUCGAGUACUGUGUUCAGUUUUGUGCCUCUCACUACAAGAAAAACAUUGAGGCCCUGGAAUGUGUCCAGGGAAGGGCAACAAAACUGGUGAGAUGUCUGGAGCACAAGUCUUAUGGGGAGCAGAUGAGGAAGCUGGGAUUGUUUAGUCUGGAGAAGAAGAGGCUCAGGGGAGAUCUCACUGUGCUCGACUACUUCCUGAAGGGAGGUUGUGAUGAGGAUGACUUCCUGAAGGGAGGUUGUGAUGAGGAUGGGUUUGGCCUCUUCUCCCAGGCAACAAACAGGACCUGAGGAAAUGGCCUCAAGUUGUGCCAGAGAAGGUUUAGAUUAGACAUAAGGAAAAACUUUUUCCUCUCAGAGAGUGAUCAGGCACUGAUCAUGGCCUUCCCAGGGAGAUGGUGGAGUCGCUGUCCCUGGCAGUGUUCAAGAGGCAUCUGGAUGAAGAGCUAUGAGAUAUGGCUUAGUAGCUUGUGGUAUCAGUGGUAGUACAAGGAUGGUUGGACUAGAUGAUCUUGUAGGUCCUUUCUAAUCUUGUGAUUCUAUGAUUAUAUGGAAAAAAAGCAGGUUUGUUUAAGGGAGAAAGAGUCAGAGGAAUGAAACAAGAAAAUCUGUUGACAUUCAAGCCAGUGUUCACAGUAGUGUAGAACACCAAGUACUCAUGUUAUGCCCAUUUCCUAUACAUUUUUUAUUACUUUUUGGUAGUUAAUAUAUGCACACAAUAAACAUCAGUGUUAAAAAUAGCUUAUGCCAAGAAAGGCAACAUGCUCAGAUUUACAGUGUUUUUGAAGUAUUGUUUUUAUAUUUAAUCACAUUGUACAUUAUUAAUAUUUUAUUCAUGUAUUCUCUUUGAUUCUUAUAUAUGUGCAUGUACAUACAUAUUCAUAUCCACACUACCCAAGUAUUCAUGUAUAUAAAUACAUACAACCAAAUGCAAGGGUGUGAAAGUGGAAAUAAACAAGACAGUACAACAAAGUUCUCACACUGCUACUUCCAUGACAGAUAAAGAAAUGCACAGAAUGAAUAAUCAAUAAAGUAAGUAGGAUGAGCUGAGUCCCACUACCUUCUGGACAAUGAGAAAGGAAUCCAUUAUACCCAGACAGGCCCUACUUAGUUCAGUUUUUUGGGCUCUUGAAUCCUUCUUGUUACACCACUCAGGAAUUACUAAUGUAUUGUCUUAGCAAUUUACAUUUCUCUAUUAUAGUUCAGGUUACCUUCCUUUUUGACAAAUGCUACAUAAAAUAUUACUUUGCAAGAAGAGGGAGCAAUUAUUUUUAAUAAUGUUUUGGGAAAGUAGAAAGUACUAGAUUUCACUUGAAUACUUUUAGUUGCACAUUAGUGAAAUGAUACUCUUGCUUUAGGAAGUCUAUCAUUUCCUUCCAUUAGAGACUUGUAGACUGCCGGUUCCAGCAAAGCCCUGAAAAACCUCCACUGAAGUUGUAACAUUAGUAAUGGUAGCAAAAGAACAGCAUCUUAUUUGAUGAGUGAAAUUCUUUUUUUGGAGUACUGCAACAUUUGGGGUAUACGUGAUGGACAGUUCUGAUCCUUUGUGUGCAAUAAUACUAUAUGAUAUGCAUUUGUGAGGUUCUUGUCAGUAUAUCUGAUAAUUUUUUUGCAAUAUUAAUAUUUAUGAGUGAUAGUAUUUAUCACAGUGCUUUAUUUCCAACAAAAUGCUACUCAUUCAGACUACCACUUCUGAAAAAAAAAAAUCAGAGGGAAUAUCACAGAUCAUUAAAAGGUUUGGAAUAAGACUCUCUAAAGAGAGCGUGUCUAUAAUGCAUUGGCCUAUUGUGUAGCUAGGUUUAUUUAUGUGGAUCUUUAUCUGCCUCAAAUAGAUCUAGACUGCUUCAGCCUUCAUCUAUAAGAAAAGUGCCACCCCUCAAGGAGAUAAAGUAGGGCAUCAAACCACAGCAAGCACUGCAGUGAGCUCUUGGUGAGCAGACAGGCACGGAAAGACUGAAGGCCUCCCAGACAAUUUCUAGCUAUAUCCAUUUCACCUGUAAGUCAAAAACAAAGUGUUUACUCUGAUUUAACAUAUCCACAAAAGAGCACUUGGGAAUUAUAUGUAUAUGUAUGUGUAUAUAUAUAUAUACAUAGAUACUCAUACACACACACACACCCCAAAACACAACCAUAAUUAGCCAUUCAUAAAUAGAGCACCCACAACAGCACUCUAUCUCAUAACAACAUCAAACAGAAAUCUUCUGAAAUGCUGAUGUAUUUAACCAACACAGUUUUCAUCUUAAUUGCAGCAUUAGCACAUACGGUGGCCUUCUGAACCACCUGCAAGCAGAAAAAUCAU
ensembl:lncRNA